CGGAGAUUCAGCAAUGGAUCUUAGUGGCGAACGGGUGAGUAACGCGUAGGCAAUCUGCCUUCUAGAUGGGGACAACAUCCCGAAAGGGGUGCUAAUACCGAAUGUUGUACCGUUUCCGCAUGGAGAUGAUACUAAAGGUGGCCUCUGAAUAUGCUACCGCUAGAAGAUGAGCCUGCGUCUGAUUAGCUAGUUGGAGGGGUAACGGCCCACCAAGGCUUCGAUCAGUAGCCGGUCUGAGAGGAUGAACGGCCACACUGGGACUGAGACACGGCCCAGACUCCUACGGGAGGCAGCAGUGGGGAAUCUUCCGCAAUGGACGAAAGUCUGACGGAGCAACGCCGCGUGAGUGAAGAAGGUUUUCGGAUCGUAAAGCUCUUUCGUUAGGGACGAACGUGCUCUUUGUGAAUAAUGAGGAGUAAUGACGGUACCUAAAUAAGAAGCCACGGCUAACUACGUGCCAGCAGCCGCGGUAAUACGUAGGUGGCAAGCGUUGUCCGGAAUUAUUGGGCGUAAAGCGCGCGCAGGCGGGAUAUCAAGUCUG
rnacentral:rRNA from 1 species